AUCCAGCUGAUAAGUCCCAAACAGGACGAAGCGCGCGUCUCGGAU
rnacentral:hammerhead_ribozyme from 1 species